GGGUUGUGAGGUUAAGCGACUAAGCGUACACGGUGGAUGCCCUGGCAGUCAGAGGCGAUGAAGGGCGUGCUAAUCUGCGAUAAGCGCCGGUAAGGUGAUAUGAACCGUUAUAACCGGCGAUACCCGAAUGGGGAAACCCAGUGUGACUCGUCACACUAUCAUUAACUGAAUCCAUAGGUUAAUGAGGCGAACCGGGGGAACUGAAACAUCUAAGUACCCCGAGGAAAAGAAAUCAACCGAGAUUCCCCCAGUAGCGGCGAGCGAACGGGGAGGAGCCCAGAGCCUGAAUCAGCAUGUGUGUUAGUGGAAGCGUCUGGAAAGGCGCGCGAUACAGGGUGACAGCCCCGUACACAAAAGCGCAUGUGCUGUGAGCUCGAUGAGUAGGGCGGGACACGUGGUAUCCUGUCUGAAUAUGGGGGGACCAUCCUCCAAGGCUAAAUACUCCUGACUGACCGAUAGUGAACCAGUACCGUGAGGGAAAGGCGAAAAGAACCCCGGCGAGGGGAGUGAAAAAGAACCUGAAACCGUGUACGUACAAGCAGUGGGAGCCCCACCACUAAGCCAGUGGUGAACUCCACAUACGCAUCCUUUGCUGAGGAUACGGUUAACGGAGCGAAAGCGACGUUCAACCGCAAAAGAAGCAGAGGGGGCUUAGUGGUGGGGUGACUGCGUACCUUUUGUAUAAUGGGUCAGCGACUUAUAUUCUGUAGCAAGGUUAACCGAAUAGGGGAGCCGGAGGGAAACCGAGUCUUAAUUGGGCGUUAAGUUGCAGGGUAUAGACCCGAAACCCGGUGAUCUAGCCAUGGGCAGGUUGAAGGUUGGGUAACACUAACUGGAGGACCGAACCGACUAAUGUUGAAAAAUUAGCGGAUGACCUGUGGCUGGGGGUGAAAGGCCAAUCAAACCGGGAGAUAGCUGGUUCUCCCCGAAAGCUAUUUAGGUAGCGCCUCGUGAAUUCAUCUCCGGGGUAGAGCACUGUUUCGGCUAGGGGCCAUCCCGGCUUACCAACCCGAUGCAAACUGCGAAUACCGGAGAAUGUUAUCACGGGAGACACACGGCGGGUGCUAACGUCCGUCGUGAAGAGGGAAACAACCCAGACCGCCAGCUAAGGUCCCAAAGUCAUGGUUAAGUGGGAAACGAUGUGGGAAGGCCCAGACAGCCAGGAUGUUGGCUUAGAAGCAGCCAUCAUUUAAAGAAAGCGUAAUAGCUCACUGGUCGAGUCGGCCUGCGCGGAAGAUGUAACGGGGCUAAACCAUGCACCGAAGCUGCGGCAGCGACACUGUGUGUUGUUGGGUAGGGGAGCGUUCUGUAAGCCUGUGAAGGUGUGUCGUGAGGCAUGCUGGAGGUAUCAGAAGUGCGAAUGCUGACAUAAGUAACGAUAAAGCGGGUGAAAAGCCCGCUCGCCGGAAGACCAAGGGUUCCUGUCCAACGUUAAUCGGGGCAGGGUGAGUCGACCCCUAAGGCGAGGCCGAAAGGCGUAGUCGAUGGGAAACGGGUUAAUAUUCCCGUACUUGGUGUUACUGCGAAGGGGGGACGGAGAAGGCUAUGUUGGCCGGGCGACGGUUGUCCCGGUUUAAGCGUGUAGGUGUGUGUUCCAGGUAAAUCCGGUUCACUUUAACACUGAGGCGUGACGACGAGGCACUACGGUGCUGAAGCAACAAAUGCCCUGCUUCCAGGAAAAGCCUCUAAGCAUCAGGUAACAUCAAAUCGUACCCCAAACCGACACAGGUGGUCAGGUAGAGAAUACCAAGGCGCUUGAGAGAACUCGGGUGAAGGAACUAGGCAAAAUGGUGCCGUAACUUCGGGAGAAGGCACGCUGACACGUAGGUGAAGUGAUUUACUCAUGGAGCUGAAGUCAGUCGAAGAUACCAGCUGGCUGCAACUGUUUAUUAAAAACACAGCACUGUGCAAACACGAAAGUGGACGUAUACGGUGUGACGCCUGCCCGGUGCCGGAAGGUUAAUUGAUGGGGUCAGCGCAAGCGAAGCUCCUGAUCGAAGCCCCGGUAAACGGCGGCCGUAACUAUAACGGUCCUAAGGUAGCGAAAUUCCUUGUCGGGUAAGUUCCGACCUGCACGAAUGGCGUAAUGAUGGCCAGGCUGUCUCCACCCGAGACUCAGUGAAAUUGAACUCGCUGUGAAGAUGCAGUGUACCCGCGGCAAGACGGAAAGACCCCGUGAACCUUUACUAUAGCUUGACACUGAACAUUGAGCCUUGAUGUGUAGGAUAGGUGGGAGGCUUUGAAGUGUGGACGCCAGUCUGCAUGGAGCCGACCUUGAAAUACCACCCUUUAAUGUUUGAUGUUCUAACGUGGACCCGUUACCCGGGUUGCGGACAGUGUCUGGUGGGUAGUUUGACUGGGGCGGUCUCCUCCUAAAGAGUAACGGAGGAGCACGAAGGUUGGCUAAUCCUGGUCGGACAUCAGGAGGUUAGUGCAAUGGCAUAAGCCAGCUUGACUGCGAGCGUGACGGCGCGAGCAGGUGCGAAAGCAGGUCAUAGUGAUCCGGUGGUUCUGAAUGGAAGGGCCAUCGCUCAACGGAUAAAAGGUACUCCGGGGAUAACAGGCUGAUACCGCCCAAGAGUUCAUAUCGACGGCGGUGUUUGGCACCUCGAUGUCGGCUCAUCACAUCCUGGGGCUGAAGUAGGUCCCAAGGGUAUGGCUGUUCGCCAUUUAAAGUGGUACGCGAGCUGGGUUUAGAACGUCGUGAGACAGUUCGGUCCCUAUCUGCCGUGGGCGCUGGAGAACUGAGGGGGGCUGCUCCUAGUACGAGAGGACCGGAGUGGACGCAUCACUGGUGUUCGGGUUGUCAUGCCAAUGGCACUGCCCGGUAGCUAAAUGCGGAAGAGAUAAGUGCUGAAAGCAUCUAAGCACGAAACUUGCCCCGAGAUGAGUUCUCCCUGAGACUUAGAGUCUCCUGAAGGAACGUUGAAGACGACGACGUUGAUAGGCCGGGUGUGUAAGCGCAGCGAUGCGUUGAGCUAACCGGUACUAAUGAACCGUGAGGCUUAACCUUACAACGCCGAAG
rnacentral:rRNA from 2 species